rnacentral:rRNA from 1 species
GACGUAGGAGGCGAGCGUUGUCCGGAUUUACUGGGCGUAAAGGGCGCGUAGGCGGUCAGCACAAGUCAGUUGUGAAAUCUCCGGGCUUAACUCGGAAAGGUCAACUGAUACUGUGCGACUAGAGUGCGGAAGGGGCAACUGGAAUUCUCGGUGUAGCGGUGAAAUGCGUAGAUAUCGAGAGGAACACCUGCGGCGAAGGCGGGUUGCUGGGCCGACACUGACGCUGAUGCGCGAAAGCCAGGGGAGCGAACGGG